AAAAUUCUCAAAAAAGUUCACUGAAAAUGUCUCUGAUCCCAAGAAUUUUCGGCGAUCGACGAAGCAGCAGCAUGUUCGAUCCAUUUUCAAUUGACGUAUUUGAUCCAUUCAGGGAAUUAGGCUUCCCAGGUACCAAUUCAGGGGAGAGCUCUGCAUUUGCCAACACACGAAUAGACUGGAAGGAAACUCCAGAAGCUCAUGUGUUCAAGGCUGAUCUUCCAGGGCUUAAGAAGGAGGAAGUCAAAGUGGAAGUCGAGGAGGAUAGGGUUCUUCAGAUCAGCGGAGAGAGGAACGUGGAGAAGGAAGAUAAGAAUGACAAGUGGCAUCGCGUGGAGCGAAGCAGCGGGAAAUUCAUGAGGAGAUUUAGACUUCCGGAGAAUGCAAAGAUGGAUCAAGUUAAGGCUUCAAUGGAGAACGGAGUGCUUACUGUUACUGUUCCAAAAGAAGAGGUGAAGAAGCCUGAGGUCAAGUCCAUUGAGAUUUCUGGUUAAAAAUACAUUUGUGAAUUAAGUUGAUGUGUAUGGUCAAAUAAAUAACUGAGUUGUUGUGUCUGUUGAAGGUUUGAAGUUGCUCUGUUUUUCUAUCGAAAGUCUUGAGUCGGCUUUGUUUCUCGCCUAAUGGCGUGUUGUACUUUUCCAAGUUUCACGUUUAAUAUGAAAAAUUUGUCUUUUUUUUACUGUAAUUUGUUAUUUCAUAUUUACCAAACUUAAAAAAAUAAUAAUUUAGCAAAUCUGAAUUUUUUUAAUAUAUUAUUAAAGUAAUUUUAUAAAAGCAAAUUUUUAAGUAAAAUAAAAAGAUUGUCGACACAGAUCAAAAACAUAGAUUUUGCUUAGUCCUCUCGAUAUAUGCUUUUUAGACUUUGGAAUUUCAACUGCUAGGCAUACGAGCCACUCACUUCUAUAAAAAAAAUUAAAUUAUUUUUUGUAAAUUAUAGAUUAAAUUAGGAAAAAAUGACAGAAAUUUCACUUUAGAUUUUCUUACUACAAUUAUUUCUUAUUAUUAGUUUUACAAAUUCUCAAAAUUUUCUCAUUUUCGCGCAUCAAGUUAAUGUAUAAGCGCAUUAAAUUAAUGUAUCUUGUAUAUCAUAUUAGUGUAUUAUGUAUAAAUUUACAUUAAAUUAGUGUAUUAUAUAUAAAAUAUAAUAUAUUUUAUUUAACGAUUAAUGUAUUGACAUAUCAAAUUAAUAUAUUAACGUUUAUAUUAUUAUAUCAGUUUAAGUAAUUUUUGUAAUUAUAAAAAAUUUAUUACGAACAAUGGAUACAUUUAUAAUUACAAGAAACAAAGGAUAAUUUUAUAGGGAAAAUUGUAUAUAAUAGCAAACUAAUAACCUAAAAUAAAUAGAGUAGAUAGAGUUUGAUUUAAUUGUGCUCCAUAGCAAACGUUAGCCAAAGUUUGUCUGGCGCCUCUCUCCAAAAAAUCUCGCUCGCCACUCUCCCAUUCUCGCACGCCACUCUCCCUCUGCUUGCCUCUCUCGCUUUAUACACAGAAGUGUAUAAAUUAUGUUUCUGUUUUGUAUAAAGCGAGAGAAAAUUGUAUAUACACAUGCAAAAACAUAUAUUUCCGUGUUAUACACUUAAUUAUACAAUUUAAAACAUUUUUCUUCAAUUCAAUUGUAGACAAAUGCAAAUUUUAUACAAAUAUUACAGAGAAAAAGGCCAACGAAUUAUACACUUGCAGUGAAAUACAAUUUUUUCUAGAUGUAUACAACAGAAGUGUAUAUAUUGUGUUUCUAUUUUUGUAUAAAGCGAGAGAAAAACAUAUAUCUUCUUGCUAUACACUUAUAAUUAUGCAAUAUACAUAUAUUUUAAUUCGAUUCAAUUGUAUGCAGAAUAAUUUUUAUAAAAAUAUUACAACGAAAUAGGCAACAAAUUAUAUAAUUGUGCAUUAUACAAUUGCAGUGAAAUAGGAUAACGAAUUAUCCAAUUGCAGCGAAAUAGGCCAGCGAAUUAUACAAUUUAAGCCAGCAAAUUAAACAACUGUAUAUGUAUAGCGAAUUAUACAAUUUUAUAUUUUCUAUGAGCGUAAUUAUGCAAACUUCGUUAUAUCAUACAAAUAUAAAAUUUUUAUUUGUUAUACGUGAAAUUUUCCCAUAAUUUAUAUCUUUUGCCAAAUUAGAGUAGGGUACGUCGGCCCAUGGCCUUUAACGGGCCAGAACAAUGGAGUCCAUUAAAACAUAUUUAGGUUUUUGUUGCUUCCUAUAAAUACACCUGAAAAUUCUCUCUUCAAACAUAACUCUACCUUUCUGCUCUCUGCAGCAGCAGCAGCAAGGGCUAAACAUGAAAACCUUAUUUAUUUUUAUUUUUAUUUUAUUCUUGGCAAAUAUUACUCAUCUUUGAUUGUAAGUUAUUGAAAACUUAUGGGAUGUAUGAUUAGACAUUUUGCAAACAAUGCAUAUAUAUGUCUACUAGAUUCAUCUUUUUUUUUCUUCCUUCAAAUAGUUUGUUUUUAAUUCUUCAUGGAUGAUGGUGUGUAAGAAUGAUGAAGAAAUCAUUCGGAUUCCCACUGAUAUUUAUUUGUGAUUACCACAACCAGCUACUUCUGACUUCACAUCCCUUUUUCAGAUUUUAAUUUUUAUAUGGAUUUGGAAUUUGACAAUUUGAAACCUUUUUCAGAUUUUAAUUUUUAUAUGGAUUUGGAAUUUGAUAAUUUGAAACAAAAAGGGCCUGUGAUGUAAGUAAAUAUUUGCUACUCUUGAUGGAAAUUUAAAUUUCCAUCUGAUGAUUCUCUAUCCACCAAGAUCUCUGAGGCCUUGUUCUUAAAUCUUAUAUCUUUCUAAAAUAAUUUUGAAAUUGUUCUGUUCUUUUAUCCAGGUUGAGUCGUUAAAAUGUACCAAUAUUAUUAUAUUUUCCUUUUUUUGAUCCUGUUUAAAUUUGUCAUAUAUCUUUCUUAUUUUUCUUUUUCAGUUAAAUGGAUCCAAAUCGUAUAAUGAUUAGUUUUUUCUUUUUUUGAUGCUUUAAAAUUACAUUACGCAUAUACACCACAUAGAGGUUACAUUAUUUCAACUUCGCAGGCUUACAAUACCAAGAUUCAUGUUAUGGUACCAUAUAUAUUGAAUUAUUAUAUGGUAUGUAGCAAAUUAUCAAUGUUAUUAUUUUGGUAUUAUUAUGAUUAUUUGAUAUAUUAUAUUUUAUUUUUUAAAUACCUCGCAUAAUAUCUCUACAUGGAUAAUGCUUUGGUAAUCUAUGUUAAUUUAGAGAUUAGAUAUUCAAAUAAUUAAUCGACUAAAAAUCAAGACUAAACCAAUUAAUUAUAAAAUAACUCAUUCAUUUUUAAACAAUUUGCUAUUAUUAUGUUCCCCAUGUAUUUUUUAAUUUCUUCUAAAUUUUCUCUCCUAAUUACUCUGAAUUUCAAGUAUUUCAUUAUUUUGCUCCCAAUGUGGCUUUAAAAAUUUUAGGUACCGCUAAAACAAUUUUAUAUUAAAUUUUUAUCUAUAUGUUUUUUUCAAUUUUACAAGUUAUCUUUGAGUUAAUUCAUUAUAUUCAGAGUUCUUAAUUAUGCAAUUGAAUAAUCAUUCUUUUCGUAGGUUCUAACGUAAGAUUUUGAAGAGGUUGCAGGUUUAUUGGUAAAAUUCAAUGCAGUAGAAGUAGUUUGGGUUCAAAUUGAAAAAAAUAAUCUAAUUGGAUUGAGGAAAUUAUUGUAAAAUCGAAGCAAUCUAACAUCAGAAUUGUGGAGUACUAGUUUUCCCCAAUCUGAUUGGAUCAUUUUCAAUUUUUUUUCAAUUUGGAACUGGACAUGCAACCUCCCCAAUUAGACCCAAGGAAAAAAACAAUUUUGUUCAACAAUAUUUUAUCCAUGCUGAUGUAUACUUCUUGUCAAUCAUUUAGUCAAUCUUUUAGAACAUUUGAUGGAUGAUAAAUUGAUAUGAAUAAUAAUUAAAUUAAUAGAUUUAGACCAAGUUUUGGUGAUUGAAAGUUAUGGAGUUCAAUGAAAUAAAAUGAAUAUCUUCAAUUUUACUUAUACAAUUUCGUGUGACCCAUUAAUAUUUAAUUAUUCAAAAUUAUAGUUACUCAAAAUAUAUGAAUGAAGCACUAGAUAUAUUAUUUAUUUUAAAUUAAUUGUUCGGUCUGUUGUUCUUAUAACAUGAUCUUAACCUAGUAUUAGCUAAAUUUUGUGGAAUGUAAAUAACGGGCCCUUAAAAUAAGGACAGAGUACUUGUAUAAUUGGGCCUGUUGAAGCCCAAUUUGCAUAGGUCACUUGUAUGAUCUGUGACGUGGCCUGCGGUAUUUGUCCCGAAAGUUCUCGACAUCACCUUACUGAAGUAUCUACUUGGCUCUAGAAAUAUCUCAAUGAUGGUAGAACGAACCUGCUAAACACUUCUAUAGGAAAAGCUAUAAAUAACUAUCCAAUCCUUAUCUAUCAACCAUCAAAACUGAAAGCAAGUAAACACAGAAAAUUCUCAAUAGCUCACUGAAAAUGUCACUGAUCCCAAGAAUCUUCGGCGACCGACGAAGCACCAGCGUGUUCGAUCCAUUUUCAAUUGACGUAUUUGAUCCAUUCAAGGAAUUAGGCUUCACAGUUUCAAAUUCAGGGGAGACCUCUGCAUUUGCCAACACUCGAAUCGACUGGAAGGAAACUCCAGAAGCUCAUGUGUUCAAGGCUGAUCUUCCAGGGCUUAAGAAGGAGGAAGUCAAAGUGGAGAUCGAAGAGGAUCGUGUUCUUCAGAUCAGCGGAGAGAGGAACGUGGA
rnacentral:lncRNA from 1 species